AUUAAGGAGGAGGAGUCCGGUUGCCGACUGAGCCGUAAAAGUGAUUUUUUUUUUUUCCCCAAGAGGAGACCGGCUUCCUGCAUUAAAGGCUUUCCCCUGCCUCCCCACUCUUUCUUGCACCCCCGCUGCCGCUCUCGCGGAGGAGGAGUGAAUACCGGUGCGUACCUCGCUUCCUGUUUGAUUAACUCACGCGCUCGCCUCAUGCUUUCUCGGAGCAGCAGGGGAGCGACCGCAGCUCCGCCCCAAGAGGGGGCCCGCUAAACCCAGUCGGGCUAGCCCAAGCGCGGCGCCCUUACCUGCGCCCCCUGCCCCUCGUCGGCGUCCUGUGCGGUGUCCACUGGCCGGCGGCGCCCAGGAAAGGGCCAAGGAGGAAUGCUGCCCGGGAAAUGUGGAGUGUCCCAGGCAAUGAAAAAAUAAAUUUGCGAUGAAUUGGCAACACAAAGAAUUUUGAGCUUGGAAUAUUCCUUGCUGUCCCUAACUCUGAUGAUAAAGUUGCCUUCUAACUCCUGAUACAGAUGUCAGUGGCUGUGGUCAACUUCUAUGGCUCUGCUACAUGUCUUCUCAUUCCAGAUUCCAGCCUCAAAAAGUGUGCCUUAUUUGGGACAUCCAAAAAAGAAGAACUCUUGAUGCCUCCUAAAGUCUCUAAAUGUCCAGAAGUGUUCCUCAGAAAGAAUGUGCAUAGGUAACGAGUUUCUCAAUAAAAAGCUUCUUCAUAAAAACUACAUAGAGGACUUAUGCUUCCAGAUUGAUUGCACCGUGGGAAGAUUCAGAGCUCCCUUCUUCUGUAGACACUCAGCUGAACGAGAAAACACAAACAUCAGAAACAGAUUUACACAGCUGGUUCUUAGAGCAGCAGUGGACCUCUUGCAUCAAUUUGAAAGUUGAUUUCAAUCAACAUUGAUUGCCCAGUCUGGACCAUUAAGCGCAUAAGCUGAUUUCAGAGAAAUGAAAUAUGAUGGAUGUAGAAAUCAGAGUGGGAAAACUCAAGAACAACAGGAAGAAAUCAAGGGUCCUAAAAAUCUGAAUCUAGAGAAUCUGAAAUGCAAUGCUUCCUAAGAACUAUAUAAUGGUAAAGAAAUUCAUAGCAUUCCUAGUAACAUUCCCCAUAAUGCAAGUUCUGAGUACACAGGGAAGCAAGAGGAGGCAGUACAGGGAAACCCACAGAGGGAAGAGGGAACACUUAGACAUUUGGGGGCCAGUGAAAUUUUGUUCACUUUACGAUAAUGCUUUCAUUUCCCUCAUAAUCUGGAAUUUAAAUAUCCUUUUUAAAGCCCAUCAAGUAUCUUCCCUACUUAUGUACUUAGUUUUCUUCAAACAAUAGGGUACCACUGUUUAGCGAUCCCUGAAACCCAUCACCCUUUCAUUAAUAAUCAAUAACAACAAAAAUAGAAAUAGAAGGCUUUAGGCAUUUAGAAUUUAAGUGAGUUUACAAUGAGAUUAAAUGUACGUGUUAUACCAGUUACCCUACAUAUUUUAUCCUGUUCCCACACAAGCUUAAAACGGCAACAGAGAAGGAGAAUGAGGGUCCACAAAUUAGGUAAAAGGCAGGGAAGACAAAGAGAAAGAUAUUUAAAAAGAAAGAGUUUUCAGCAGUUUGCAUGGCAGUCUUCAUAUUUUUCCAAUGGAACAGAAAGCUAUCUACUAUUUUAACAUAUACAAGAAGUAAAAGGCAAGUCUCAAAGAGCUUGAAAACUAUUUAGUGGUUUACAAGAAGUCAUUUUCAGUACUUUUAUUUCUGUGUUACAGGUUCUUAUAUCCUUCUGGAUAUUUCCCUCACUUCAUCAGAAGAGACAGGGAUUCUUUAUUUCCAUGUUAAUAUUCUGUUCUUAAUACCCUGUUUAUAUUCCUCAGAUCUAUAAAUGUCCUCAAACUUUCAUUCCUUAUUUCAGUAAGACGGAGCACAUAUAUUUAACUAAAGCCAUAACUUUAAUCUUUGUGUUGCACAAUUAUAACACAGUUUUGGUUUAAUGAAUUAUAAAAUCUUGAAUAGCAUAAGGUAUAGGCAGGCUUAUUUUUGCAAAAUGUAUUUGUGACUCUUCACUGAACAUUUAAAAUAUGUAUUCAAAAAUUGUAGUGGGAUUGCAGUUUACUGAAAUGAACUCAGAUAUAUACAGAAAAAGAAAAUUUUCUUUCCUUAAGAGCUGUGUCGAUCUCUUUUAUGAGCCAUCACAGAGCUCUAUUAGUAGAGAAAUGAGUUUUUACCAUUUUAAAUAAUCUUUUGAUUGAAAUAUUCUUCUUUCAUUAUAAAUGAUUCUUUUGGAUAA